CUAUUUUGGAACUUACCUGUAAGAGCUAUGGUCCAAAUUUGAGUUAUUGCAUAUAGAUUAAAUCACUCCUCUAUUGCUCUUUCCUUGUUGAGUUUUCUCUCAUACUUUUCUGGUAUCUUAUAUCCAAUUUUUACAUUUUCUCUGACUAUCAAACAUCCAUCUCUGGUUAUCCUUCCAAUUUGCAAAUAGAUAUUCGGGGCACAUCAACAUUCACUGCACAACAAUGAGUGGUUAGCUAUUUUUACUGCUAGUUGAAACAUCAACUUUCAAGGAAGCUAUGAAUCUUAAAGAAAGUUGACACAAAAUAGGUCUUACAUAAAUAAAAUAUUUUGUUGCCUUAAUUAGAAUCUCAUCCAGUUCUCAGAAAAAUUCUCCAAACUGUUAAUUCCAUGUACUCAACAAAAGAAAAAAAAAAAAAGAAAGUUGAUUCUGUAUCGAUUUCAACUGAAGGACUGAUCAAUAGCAAAGAGAACUGAGAGGAUGAUCAGUACAAACACAUUGUACCUUAGACUGAUGAAUAAUUUGUGCAAAAGCUAAAUCAAUUUAUCGAAGCAUUCAAUGGUGGCAUUUGGGGCCAGUAUUCGACAAGGUCCAUCGAUCUUUAUGAGCAAAUAAAAAGUGCCUAAUAGGAUGAGGAACAAAACAUAAUUGUCUCUGGGUCCACCUAUGUUUUCUUUCAUACCAAUCUUCUAAAAUUGACAUCAUCAUCCUUAUCCGCUACCUUGCUUUUCUUUAAAGGAAUUAAGCUGCAUUGCUGAAUUUGGAAGAUAAGGGACAUUCAGUUUUGUAUUCCAACUUUUUCUAGGUAUAUUUUUGGAAAAUAUUUCAGGUUAUACACUAAUUAAAGUACCUCUCAACCCUUUUGUCUGUUCUGUCAUACAAAGGAUUGAUCACAAUUCCUUCCGCACCGAAAAUACUAUAUCCACCUACACAGCCCCGAGAUAAGAAGAAAACGAUGAUAACACCAUAAUCUGUUCCGACACUCUUAACUAGAAAUCAAUUGGAGGGAAUAAUGAGACACGAAAUCCAUUAUAUGAGGCAAAGAUUUUUCUUCUUUUCCGAAAAGAAAAGCCUUGUCUGAUAAACAGGCCAACUGAUUACAACGGCGAUCGAGAUGAAGCAUUCAAAUUCGUGGAUUUUCGCCUUGAAGUUUUCCAGGAGCAAAUCAUUUCACUAAAACUCCAGAAAAAAUGCCUCCUUUUUGAACAAACUGAAGUUACUCUCGGUCAAAGAUCAACGAAAAAUCAAGUAGACAGAUCAAAAAGAUAGAGAUAGAGAGAGCGGAGUAGGAAAAGGAAGAAGCGGGUGUUUUGGGAACGUCUGCUCACAGAACGAGACACGCAAACGGAGAGAAAUAGAAAGAUGUCAGCCAUAUACAAGAAACCAACAGAGCUCCCGAGCUCACCUUCUGUUCUCUCAUCGUCUGCAUAAAUUCGCGCGCAAAAAAGGAGCAAUGCCGAUCGAAAUCUCACCUCUUCGCUGCAAAGAGAGAUCUGAAGUAGCCGUUGGAGGUGGGAACCUCUUCCUUUUAGUCCGCUUCUGAUGUCCUUACGCACGUCUCGUCGUUUCUCCCGAGCUUUGUCUCUGCAGCUCAUCUUUCCGCAAGAACCCUUGCCAUUAUUGAUAACCU
rnacentral:lncRNA from 1 species